UACGGGGGGGGGCAAGCGUUGUUCGGAUUUACUGGGCGUAAAGGGCGCGUAGGCGGCGCGACAAGUCACUUGUGAAAUCUCCGGGCUUAACCCGGAGCGGCCAAGUGAUACUGUCGUGCUCGAGUGCGGAAGGGGCCACCGGAAUUCUCGGUGUAGCGGUGAAAUGCGUAGAUAUCGAGAGGAACACCUGCGGCGAAGGCGGGUGGCUGGGCCGACACUGACGCUGAGGCGCGAAAGCCAGGGGAGCGAACGGG
rnacentral:rRNA from 1 species